rnacentral:rRNA from 1 species
GAUGAACGCUGGCGGCGUGCCUAAUACAUGCAAGUCGAGCGAACGAACGAGAAGCUUGCUUUUCUGAUGUUAGCGGCGGACGAGUGGGGAGUACGUGGAUAACCUACUGAUCAGACUGGGAUAACUUCGGGAAACCAGAGCUAAUACCGGAUAAUAUUUUGAACCGCAUGCUUCAAAAGUGAGAGACGGUCUUUGUGUCGCUGGUAGAUGGAUCCGCGCUGCAUUAGCUAGUUGGUAGGGUGACGGCUUACCAAGGCAACGAUGCCUAGCCGACCUGAGAGGGUGAUCGGCCACACUGGAACUGAGACACGGUCCAGACUCCUACGGGAGGCAGCAGUAGGGAAGAUUCCGCAAUGGGCGGAAGCCUGCCGGAGCAACGCCGCGUGAGUGAUGAAGGUCUUCGGAUCGUAAAACUCUGUUAUUGGGGAAGAAGAUAUGUGUAAUUAUCUGUGCAUAUCUUGACGGUACCUAAUCAGAAAGCCCCGGCUAACUACGUG